rnacentral:rRNA from 1 species
UACGUAGGGGGCAAGCGUUGUCCGGAUUCAUUGGGCGUAAAGAGCGUGUAGGCGGCCAGGUAGGUCGGUUGUGAAAACUGGAGGCUCAACCUUCAGAGGUCGACCGAAACCAUCUGGCUAGAGUCCGGGAGAGGAGAGUGGAAUUCCGGGUGUAGCGGUGGAAUGCGUAGAGAUCCGGAAGAACACCGGUGGCGAAGGCGGCCUGCUGGGCAGUGGCUGACGCUGAGGCGCGACAGCGUGGGGAGCAAACAGG